rnacentral:rRNA from 1 species
CCUACGGGCGGCUGCAGUGGGGGAUAUUGCACAAUGGGGGGAACCCUGAUGCAGCGACGCCGCGUGGGUGAAGAAGCGCCUCGGCGCGUAAAGCCCUGUCAGCAGGGAAGAAAAUGACGGUACCUGAAGAAGAAGCCCCGGCUAACUACGUGCCAGCAGCCGCGGUAAUACGUAGGGGGCAAGCGUUAUCCGGAUUUACUGGGUGUAAAGGGGGCGCAGACGGCGAUGCAAGCCAGGAGUGAAAGCCCGGGGCCCAACCCCGGGACUGCUCUUGGAACUGCGUGGCUGGAGGGCAGGAGGGGGAGGCGGAAUUCCAGGUGUAGCGGUGAAAUGCGUAGAUAUCAGGAGGAACGCCGGUGGCAAAGGCGGCCUGCUGGACUGCAACUGACGUUGAGGCCCGAAAGCGUGGGGAGCAAACAGGAUUAGAUACCCCAGUAGUC